AAUUCUCAACCCAUCUGGCUUUGUCAAGUCAGUAUGAGGCUUGGAUAUGAGGGUUUUAUGCAGGCCUUUUAAUACAAAAGGUCAGCUCCCUUGAAAUGUAUUAGCGGAACUGUUUGCAAUCCGUCACUGGUGUGAUAAUUAUCUACGCCAAUUCGACAUUGGAAUGCUCUCUAUGUGUUCAGCUUCUAAUAGUCCAUUACGGACAACCAUUUAUUGACA
rnacentral:misc_RNA from 1 species